GACGAACGCUGGCGGCGUGCUUAACACAUGCAAGUCGAACGGAAAGGCCCUGCUUUUGUGGGGUGCUCGAGUGGCGAACGGGUGAGUAACACGUGAGUAACCUGCCCUUGACUUUGGGAUAACUUCAGGAAACUGGGGCUAAUACCGGAUAGGAGCUCCUGCUGCAUGGUGGGGGUUGGAAAGUUUCGGCGGUUGGGGAUGGACUCGCGGCUUAUCAGCUUGUUGGUGGGGUAGUGGCUUACCAAGGCUUUGACGGGUAGCCGGCCUGAGAGGGUGACCGGCCAAAUUGGGAAUGAGAUACGGCCCAGACUACUACGGGAGGCAGCAGUGGGGAAUAUUGCACAAUGGGCGGAAGCCUGAUGCAGCAAAGCCGCGUGCGGGAUGACGGCCUUCGGGUUGUAAACCGCUUUCGCCUGUGACGAAGCGUGAGUGACGGUAAUGGGUAAAGAAGCACCGGCUAACUACGUG
rnacentral:rRNA from 1 species